rnacentral:rRNA from 1 species
GAUGAACGCUGGCGGCGUGCCUAAUACAUGCAAGUCGAGCGAACAGAUGAGGAGCUUGCUCCUCUGACGUUAGCGGCGGACGGGUGAGUAACACGUGGAUAACCUACCUAUAAGACUGGGAUAACUUCGGGAAACCGGAGCUAAUACCGGAUAAUAUAUUGAACCGCAUGGUUCAAUAGUGAAAGACGGUUUUGCUGUCACUUAUAGAUGGAUCCGCGUCGCAUUAGCUAGUUGGUAAGGUAACGGCUUACCAAGGCAACGAUGCGUAGCCGACCUGAGAGGGUGAUCGGCCACACUGGAACUGAGACACGGUCAAGACUCCUACGGGAGGCAGCAGUAGGGAAUCUUACGCAAUGGGCGAAAGCCUGACGGAGCAACGCCGCGUGAGUGAUGAAGGUCUUCGGAUCGUAAAACUCUGUUAUUAGGGAAGAACAAAUGUGUAAGUAACUAUGCACGUCUUGACGGUACCUAAUCAGAAAGCCACGGCUAACUACGUG